rnacentral:lncRNA from 1 species
CCUGGAGGGCCGGCGGAGAGAGGGAGGGAGGGGGCGGGCGGCUUCCCGCUGCCCUGUGUCGGCGGGAAGCGAUGGGAUCGCGGCGGUGCCCGGCGGAAGGCGAGUGCCGUAGGUGGGUCCUGCGCCCCCGACGGCCGCGGCGCCCGAGGUAGCCAACACCCUUGGCUGUGUGUAUUUUGGCUGAGAUGGUGAGGAAUGCUGCAACCCAAGUGUGAUUCCACCGCCAACUCCAUCGAUGCUUCAUACUGAGAAUGGGUCUGAGGGAGAUGGAAAAGACCUGCUGGGUUUCAGGGAGGGAGGCAGGCAAGCCAGAAGCACAGACAAAGCAGGGUUUUUUUCUCCAGAAAGGAAAAGAGAAGAACAUAAAACCAAAAUGUAGCAAUGCUUGUAUUGGAGCACUCCAGAGGUCUAUUUAACCCAAGAUGUCAGCAAGAAGAUGGUAAGGGUUUUGUGAUUCUACAG